UAGGUAGGUGGCAAGCGUUAUCCGGAAUUAUUGGGCGUAAAGAGCGCGCAGGUGGUAAAUUAAGUCUGAUGUGAAAGCCCACGGCUCAACCGUGGAGGGUCAUUGGAAACUGGUUAGCUCGAGUGCAGAAGAGGGUAGUGGAAUUCCAUGUGUAGAGGUGAAAUGCGUAGAGAUAUGGAGGAACACCAGUGGCGAAGGCGGCUACCUGGUCUGUAACUGACACUGAGGCGCGAAAGCGUGGGGAGCAAACAGG
rnacentral:rRNA from 1 species